GGAGGACGCUCACCACUUUGUGGUUCAUGACUGGGGUGAAGUCGUAACAAGGUAGCCCUAGGGGAACCUGGGGCUGGAUCACCUCCUUA
rnacentral:rRNA from 1 species